rnacentral:ncRNA from 1 species
GAGAUAGAGGUAGCGCUUCGUCAAGAGUAACCGAGUCCAAUGCCGUGCAGGGCAGGGCCGGAGAAAGGGGCGGGCGCCGAGGGCGGCUUUCACUGCAAGGGGAGCCGAGCCGGGCGGACAAACUAAGAGUUGUCCGACUGUCGCAAAUGGAACAAUUUGCGGAGAGCUAUCC